rnacentral:rRNA from 1 species
GAUAUCCCGGUUUAGGCAGAUGUAGGCGACAGGUAGGCAAAUCCGCCUGUCAUAUACCGAGGCUGCCGAUCGAGCGAGCUUGCUCGCGAAGUGACUGAACGAGGUUCCAGGAAAAGCCACUAAGCUUCAGCUAACAACGACCGUACCGCAAACCGACACUGGUGCGCGAGAUGAGUAUUCUAAGGCGCUUGAGAGAACUCGGGAGAAGGAACUCGGCAAAUUGACACCGUAACUUCGGAAGAAGGUGUGCCCUAUUAGUGUGAAGUGAACAACGGAGCAUGAAUGGGUUGCAAAAAAUCGGUGGCUGCGACUGUUUAUUAAAAACACAGCACUCUGCAAACACGAAAGUGGACGUAUAGGGUGUGACGCCUGCCCGGUGCUGGAAGAUUAAAUGAUGGGGUGCAAGCUCUUGAUUGAAGUCCCAGUAAACGGCGGCCGUAACAAUAACGGUCCUAAGGUAGCGAAAUUCCUUGUCGGGUAAGUUCCGACCUGCACGAAUGGCGUAACGAUGGCCACACUGUCUCCUCCCGAGACUCAGCGAAGUUGAAAUGUUUGUGAUGAUGCAAUCUCCCCGCGGAAAGACGGAAAGACCCCAUGAACCUUUACUGUAGCUUUGUAUUGGACUUUGAACAGAUCUGUGUAGGAUAGGUGGGAGGCUUUGAAGCAGGGUCGCUAGAUCUUGUGGAGCCAACGUUGAAAUACCACCCUGGUGUGUUUGAGGUUCUAACCUAGGUCCAUUAUCUGGAUCGGGGACAGUGCAUGGUAGGCAGUUUGACUGGGGCGGUCUCCUCCCAAAGUGUAACGGAGGAGUUCGAAGGUACGCUAGUUACGGUCGGACAUCGUGACGAUAGUGCAAUGGCAUAAGCGUGCUUAACUGCGAGACUGACAAGUCGAGCAGAUGCGAAAGCAGGACAUAGUGAUCCGGUGGUUCUGUAUGGAAGGGCCAUCGCUCAACGGAUAAAGGGUACUCUGGGGAUAACAGGCUGAUACCGCCCAAGAGUUCAUAUCGACGGCGGUGUUUGGCACCUCGAUGUCGGCUCAUCUCAUCCUGGGGCUGUAGCCGGUCCCAAGGGUAUGGCUGUUCGCCAUUUAAAGAGGUACGUGAGCUGGGUUUAAAACGUCGUGAGACAGUUUGGUCCCUAUCUUCCGUGGGCGCUGCAGAUUUGAGGAAGCCUGCUCCUAGUACGAGAGGACCGGAGUGGACGCACCUCUGGUGUAUCGGUUGUCACGCCAGUGGCAUUGCCGAGUAGCUAUGUGCGGAAGAGAUAACCGCUGAAAGCAUCUAAGCGGGAAACUCGUUCCAAGAUGAGAUCUGCCGGGGCCUUGAGCCCCCUAAAGAGUCGUUCAAGACCAGGACGUUGAUAGGUCAGGUGUGGAAGCGCAGUAAUGCGUUAAGCUAACUGAUACUAAUUGCUCGUGCGGCUUGACCCU